UACGUAGGGGGCUAGCGUUGUCCGGAUUUAUUGGGCGUAAAGAUCGUGUAGGCGGUUGGAUAGGUCCGUUGUGAAAACUCGAGGCUCAACCUCGAGACGCCGAUGGAAACCAUCUAACUAGAGUCCGGAAGAGGAGAGUGGAAUUCCUGGUGUAGCGGUGAAAUGCGCAGAUAUCGGGAGGAACACCUAUGGCGAAGGCAGCUCGCUGGGACGGUACUGACGCUGAGACGCGAAAGCGUGGGAGCAAACAGG
rnacentral:rRNA from 1 species